rnacentral:rRNA from 10 species
GUCCCACCUGACCCCAUGCCGAACUCAGAAGUGAAACGCCGUAGCGCCGAUGGUAGUGUGGGGUCUCCCCAUGUGAGAGUAGGGAACUGCCAGGC